rnacentral:rRNA from 1 species
CCGAUGAAUGUGUGAUCAUUAAUUGACCAGUGUGAACUGUCCAACAAAUCUUUAGGGGUCGGCACAGGUAGGAGUGGUCGUUAAAUGGUGGAUAUUCCUUCCAGCAGCCCCGCCAUUGUGUGUUACUAUGCAUAUUGAACGUAAAAGACUGAGAGAACGUAUCUUCAUGAUCACCAUGAAAGGAAAAACUGUUAAAGAAAGAGACAAACAACUUUUGACGGUGGAUCUCUUGGCUCACGUAUCGAUGAAGAACGCAGCCAGCUGCGAUAUGUAGUGUGAAUUGCAGAAUUCAGUGAAUCAUUGAAUCUUUGAACGCAAAUGGCGCUCUUGGGUUCUCCCAGGAGCAUGUCUGUCUGAGUGUCGGAUUUUAUCGAACGCACACUCACUCGUGAGUGUGCGGUAUUGAGGUGUCACGGCGUGAAGAAUCAGUGUAUUAAUGAUCGCCGUGUCCCUUGAAGAGCAGCAGCAGCAGCAGCAUUCUCUAUUGAAACUUGAGUGCGAAGGCUAAAGAUAUUGCUAUUUUCCUUCGCUCCAGGUUGGUUUAGGGUUGUUGGGUUGCUGAAAAAGAGAAACAAACAAAUGCAAUCAAUCUUGACCUCAGAUCAGGCAAGGCUACCCGCUGAAUUUAA